UACAGAGGUCUCAAGCGUUGUUCGGAUUCAUUGGGCGUAAAGAGCACGCAGGCGGUUUGGCAAGUCGGAUGUGAAAACCCGAAGCUCAACUUCGGGCCUGCAUCCGAAACUGCCCGACUAGAGGUAGGUAGGGGAGAUCGGAAUUCCUGGUGUAGCGGUGAAAUGCGCAGAUAUCAGGAGGAACACCGGUGGCGAAGGCGGAUCUCUGGGCCUUACCUGACGCUCAGGUGCGAAAGCUAGGGGAGCGAACAGG
rnacentral:rRNA from 1 species